rnacentral:lncRNA from 1 species
ACGUCGGCGGAGCUCGGCAUGUUCUGACGGCGGAAGGCGGUCUUCUCCUUCAGCUCUGGCGGACCAGAGGUGACUGUCUCCUUUACUCUUCGGUUGCCGAGAAAACUGACAAAAAGCUUGACAAAAGCCUGCGAGGCAUGCGAGAAGCUUGCCUGGGGGACGGUUCUCUCCUAGCUGGAGGGGAAUCUGGCUGAGGCUCCUUUGACACACCACCGCUGUGUAUGGCCUAAGUGAUGUGCUGAAAGAAAGAGACCUGCUGCAGCAGAGCUUGCAAGUGUUGGGUCCAGACCAGAAACGAGACGAGGGAGGCAGAGCCAGACUUGCUGCUGCCAACACAGUCCAAGUCAAUUCAAUCCUCUUUUUGCGCUAUGCACAUGUCCUGGCUGCUACAAUUUCUGCAAGUAGCAGCAUUUGCCUGGUCUGAUUGGCCACCUGCUGCAGAUAUUAUAGGAGUACAUGUCAUCCUUUCCUCUAGUAUAUCCAUAUCCUGCACUCACUCACUCCUCAUACAUGCUAAUAAUAUUAAUGCAACCACGGAAACGAAAGCAACGUCCCCAAGAAAGCGAACGAUCAUUCGAUUCCUCAUCAAGCAUCACAAAUUCACACAAUACCACCCACAGAGGACACAAGUGCAAUUUGUUCAGGCCAAGGUUUAGCUAGCUGAACCUGUGAGCAUCAAUAUUUCCACACUAGUUAAAAGUGGGCCAACUUUUGCUUGAUGAAAGUUGAAACUAUCCCCCAUCGCUUUAACAAUUGGAAUACUGCUCACAGCUAUUGUAACAAACGUCAGGGAAACAUGUUUUAAAGCAUUUCUACUUGUACCAGUAGAAGAAGAGGUUUCCCAGACAAAGUGAGCUCAAGAUAGAUGGCAGUGCAGGUACAAACACCAUCUUGUCCCACCAUUACCCAAUUAUUAAAGCCACAAGACAGGAUCUCGGAGGAUGCAGAUGCAGUACCCAUCAUCAUUUUACCAGGCUUCUUUUACUACUAGUACCAGUAGUACAAUCCUUUUUACUAAUGGGUAUCUGUAGCUUUCUGGAUCAGGUAACUAACUUUACGGCACACUAUCUGAACAUAUAAUCAAACACGCACUAAAACAGUGUUGUUGACACCCAAGCUCACUUUUAUAUUAAUCAUUUCUGUAAUGCAAAAGGAUUAACAAGAAGGAGCACUAACGGAACAGCAAAGGAAGGAAACGCAAAAACACCGGGAGAGCAGAGACAAGAUGAUGCAUCAGCAGAUACAGAGUUGACCAUCUUGAAGUGAGUGUUAUCCAGGAUGAAAAAGGAGGGUAGAAAAGGGGAGUGAGGAAAAAGGAAAAGGCAUAGAAAUCGAAAGGGAUUACACCCACUUAACACAAAAAAAGGGGGAGAAGGAAGAAGGAAAGAAAAGUUAAACGCGCGUUCAUUAUCGUGCACGAUAAUUAAACAGGCACCAACCAAACAGGCGCAGAGACAGGAUUCCUCCACAUAAAAAAGUUGGUUUGCCACCCAGACCACCCCCACAGGAUUAUUCUAAUUCCAGCGCAGCGCACAUGCACAGUGCUGCUUAUGCAAGAUUGACAUCGCAAUGCAAUCCAAAGCCUCUAAUUGUAUGUGUCCUUGGUGACGGACUCGCAAUUUUUUUUGUAAGCAAGAUAACAAUAAGUGUAUCAUGGUACUACUAGAAAGAUGAGUGACAGAGACAUAGCAACCAACAGUCACAGGCAGGCAGAUGGAGAUUCAACAUUCUUGUUUAUGUGUUUUCUCCUUGCUUAUUUUGUCCAUUCAUUCACUCAUUCAUGGUGAUAAUUUAACACAUGAAACAACCCAUACAUACAUGCAUACAUACAGAAGAGCCGAGCUACCAGCCUACCAACAGUUACUUAUUAUUAUUCUCCCCAAGCACUAAUCCAAUCCAGAGAUCAACACAAAAGAACAAUAACAAGAGGAAGAAAAAUCUGGACAAGGCCUAAAGAGCUACAGCAGCAGCAAGCAGACAGGAAACAGGUGAGACGACUUACAUUACAGGCAGCCUUGUUUUGGUCAGGUAAAUUUCUUUUGUUCAUUUCUUGGCACGGCAUUGCAGCAGCAGUUGCACACUUGAUUGACACCAGUUGUGACUUGUGCAGGCAAAGCAAGCAGGCCUUUGUUUUCUUCUUUCUUUUUGUUUCUUGGAGUGGCACACCGAUGCAACGAAGCGAGGAAGGAAAUCCACAAAUGAAUUUGGAGAUCUCCACACUGACUGAGACUAGAAAUCACACAGGCAAGGACAAUACAGUUCCCCUGAUUACUUCAAGGCAAGAGAUUUUUUUUCCCUCUUGCUGCUGGUGGAGUUAUGGUGCACAGCAGGGGAUGGGAUGGUGCAUGGAUGACAAGGAUGAUGAGAGAAGCAGACACCUAACCUAAUGAGCGGCUAAAGCUCCCUAUGCCAACCGAACUGAGCAAGAAGCAAAGAGCACAGCACAGCAUAGAGUUAGGAUUUGCACUGAAAUCAAGCAGGUCUGAAUUUUGCUGAGCACAAGUAAUAUUUGCUCUUGCUCCAUCAAUUCGGACGAACCCUAGAAAUCAAAGGGAUAAAAAGAAAAAGAAAAAAGGCAAGCAAUUUGGGAAGCAACGUGAGUGGCGACUGACUUGAGUGGGAGUGACACGCAGCUAGAGCACCAGCAGCCAGACGAAGAAGAAGAAGAAGACGGGAUGGAAUCAAACCCUAAGCCCUAAAUUAAACCCUAGUGAGUGGACUUAGCGGGCGCUUUCCUCCUCGGCACGACCCGUGGGCGCCGGCCCGGCGCCGCCUGGGCCGCCGGAGAAGGAGGCGAGAAGGUUGAGGUUUCCCUGUGCCAUGGGUAGGUAGUUGCCGACCCUGGCAGCCGACGCCUCCCCCG